GCGGCAUGCUUUACACAUGCAAGUCGAGCGGCAGCGCGGGGCAACCUGGCGGCGAGCGGCGAACGGGUGAGUAAUAGAUAGGAACGUAUCCGGGAGUGGGGGAUAACUAGCCGAAAGGUUAGCUAAUACCGCAUAUUCUCCAUGGAGGAAAGCGGGGGACUCGCAAGGGCCUCGCGCUCGCGGAGUGGCCUAUCUCCGAUUAGCUAGUUGGUGAGGUAAAGGCUCACCAAGGCGACGAUCGGUAGCUGGUCUGAGAGGAUGAUCAGCCACACUGGGACUGAGACACGGCCCAGACUCCUACGGGAGGCAGCAGUGGGGAAUUUUGGACAAUGGGGGCAACCCUGAUCCAGCCGUGCCGCGUGCGGGAAGAAGGCCUUCGGGUUGUAAACCGCUUUUAUUCGGGAAGAAGGAGUUGGGGUUAAUACCCCUGAUGACGGACGGUACUGGAUGAAUAAGCACCGGCUAACUACGUGCCAGCAGCCGCGGUAAUACGU
rnacentral:rRNA from 1 species